AGGGACAUGCCUCAGGCAGAGCGCCUCCUGACAGGGAGGAAGAUGAGGGUUCAAGCCCCUCUGCCCCCGCCA
rnacentral:tRNA from 1 species